CCCUUCUCCAUGCUCGCCACCACCACCGUGCCGCCUCCUCCCCUUCGCGUUUCUCCUCCUCCCGCGUAGGAUCCAUGGCUCCAUGGCGGCUGUUGGCUCGAGAUGGGGGAGUGGCCGAUGCGGGGUCGGUUGGAUCGAGGCAGGGAGCGGCGGAUGCGGCGGCGGCGGCGGCACGAGAAGAGCGGCAGUGGCGGCGUCGACCUGCGAAGAGGCGAAAGGAGCGGUGGUGGCGGCGUCGAGCUGCGAAGAGGCGCCGCUCAGGCGCGAUAUCAUGGAGGCGGGAGCGGCUGCUUCGGGCUCCGAUUUGGGAGGGUACGAGACAGGGAAGGGCGACAUCGUCGCCGUCACAGCGCAUGGAGCCUGAGCCCUCGAUGAUGGGCGAUGACAAGGCCCCGCGACCGCGAUAGGGAGCUCCUCAUCCCCCGUCUCCGGCGGCGGCGGCGGGGGCUCGGUCCCCCGCGCCGGGGACGACGACGACGGCUUGGACAGGACCGUCGCCUCCCCCUCUGCCUCCGCCGCGCUCUCCUCCUCCAGCCGUGAGAAAAUUCGGAUCGGCGCUGAACCCGGACGAGGUCGCUGCAGUCAUCAGAGCCUCCUCCGCUGCGGGAGGCUAAGGGUGAGAGGAAGGAGGUGUCGUCAGCUCCAGAAGGAUCAGCAGCCCUCGUCGUCAACUGCAUAUGCCGAGGUCGCUGCUGGUGCUGCCGACUCUGCACCAGCCUCCUUCAUCUCCCAACCAAGGCCGGCUCAACCCCUCAAGAAGAGCAGGGAUGCUCUCUGUCUACACCCAGCAUCCACACAGCCAGAUCGACAGGGUUGAGCUCCUCCAUGAACCGAUUUCUUACCUUGCUGGUUGUGUCAUGGCAGUCAACAUUUGCUUGAUGAAUGUUUCAGUUUUACUACUGCUGCACCUCCCCACCAUGAGCUCGGCCUUCAGCCGUCACUGACACUGACUGUUUAUUCUUACUCCUUUCUCUAAUUCAUUUAUAUAUUUCAUGGGUAGGGUUUGGAUGGCUUGAUUAGAGCAGCCCAGUAGCCGUACCUCUGCAACUUCGCCAAUGUAUACAGUCAUCAGUACCAUCUCUUUACUGCACUUUUUACAUUCCAUUUUUUUGAGUUGUUUGAUUCAUUUUCUUUUCCAACUGAAUCAACUCUCCAGGUGGACGCAUAGCUCUCUAUAAGAAGAUCAAUCAUCGAUGACUUGCCGAUUUACAAGGCAUGUAAAAAAUAUAUACUUUCUAUGUGUUCUUUGGAUCAACUAAUGUGAGGUCGUUUCCUCUUAUUUCAUUGUUCUUGCCGCUGCAUAUAUGUCUUCAUGCAUCUGAAGUUCUGAACCACUAAAAAUUGCAGGAGAAAACAGAUUGGGGGGAUAUGAGGCUAUUGGUGUUUAUUCCUAAAUGAGGUAUUUCUGAGUUGGUUCACUCUGGAAAAAGGCUUUCCAUAAGGUGGUCCGCAGCUGGGCCUCAAAGAAAUUCAUGACUGGAUGGUAAGUCAUUUUACUAAGAUAAAUCCCACAAGAAAAGUCAUGUGAAACGGAUGGUAGAGCUGUAUGAUAUUGCCAGCAUUCAAAUUCAGUGAUUAUCGGCUAGGAAAUAAUUUUGGCAGAUUUUGUCAUAAGAUUGCCAGGAGCAUAGCUAAAUAGUUCGGAUAGUGACUCGGUGUGAUAUCUACUUUGGUUCUGGGUCUUAUCUCUUUUUUUGAAAAGAAUCAGCAUAAGAGAUCAAGGGAAUAUCAAAUAGGUCAUGCUUGGUGCAUCAUUUUGUAUUAUUCAACAACUAGAAUGGGUGGCAUGAACCCAGAGGAUAUGUGUGACCAUACUUUCCCCAGUU